rnacentral:rRNA from 1 species
GACGUAGGAGGCGAGCGUUGUCCGGAUUCAUUGGGCGUAAAGAGCACGCAGGCGGUUUGGCAAGUCGGAUGUGAAAGCCCGGAGCUCAACUCCGGACCUGCAUCCGAAACUGCCCGACUAGAGGUAGGUAGGGGAGAUCGGAAUUCCUGGUGUAGCGGUGAAAUGCGUAGAGAUCCGGAGGAACACCAGUGGCGAAGGCGACACGCUGGGCCAUACCUGACGCUAAAGCGCGACAGCAUGGGGAGCAAACGGG